GAUGAACGCUAGCGGCAGGCUUAACACAUGCAAGUCGAGGGGCAGCGAGGGUAAUAGCAAUAUUACCUGUCGGCGACCGGCGCACGGGUGCGUAACGCGUAUGCAACCUACCAUCAACAGGGGGAUAACACUGAGAAAUUGGUACUAAUACCCCAUAAUAUCUCAUGCGGCAUCGCAUGGGGUUGAAAACUCCGGUGGUUGAUGAUGGGCAUGCGUUGUAUUAGCUGGUUGGUGAGGUAACGGCUCACCAAGGCGACGAUACAUAGGGGGACUGAGAGGUUAACCCCCCACAUUGGUACUGAGACACGGACCAAACUCCUACGGGAGGCAGCAGUGAGGAAUAUUGGUCAAUGGACGCAAGUCUGAACCAGCCAUGCCGCGUGCAGGAUGACGGCUCUAUGAGUUGUAAACUGCUUUUGUACGAGGGUAAACCCCGAUACGUGUAUUGGGUUGAAAGUAUCGUACGAAUAAGGAUCGGCUAACUCCGUGCCAGCAGCCGCGGUAAUACGGAGGAUCCGAGCGUUAUCCGGAUUUAUUGGGUUUAAAGGGUGCGUAGGCGGUUUGAUAAGUUAGAGGUGAAAUGUCGGGGCUCAACCCCGAAACUGCCUCUAAUACUGUUGGACUAGAGAAUAGUUGCGGUAGGCGGAAUGUAUGGUGUAGCGGUGAAAUGCUUAGAGAUCAUACAGAACACCGAUUGCGAAGGCAGCUUACCAAACUAUAUCUGACGUUGAGGCACGAAAGCGUGGGUAGCAAACAGGAUUAGAUACCCUGGUAGUCCACGCAGUAAACGAUGAUAACUCGUUGUCGGCGAUACACAGUCGGUGACUAAGCGAAAGCGAUAAGUUAUCCACCUGGGGAGUACGUUCGCAAGAAUGAAACUCAAAGGAAUUGACGGGGGCCCGCACAAGCGGAGGAACAUGUGGUUUAAUUCGAUGAUACGCGAGGAACCUUACCCGGGCUUGAAAGUUAGCGACGACGCUUGAAAGAGCGUUUCCCUUCGGGGCGCGAAACUAGGUGCUGCAUGGUUGUCGUCAGCUCGUGCCGUGAGGUGUCGGGUUAAGUCCCAUAACGAGCGCAACCCCUACUGUUAGUUGCCAUCAGGUGAUGCUGGGCACUCUAGCGGGACUGCCGGUGUAAGCCGAGAGGAAGGUGGGGAUGACGUCAAAUCAGCACGGCCCUUACGUCCGGGGCCACACACGUGUUACAAUGGUAGGUACAGAGGGCAGCUACCCUGCGAAGGGGUGCGAAUCUCGAAAGCCUAUCUCAGUUCGGAUUGGAGGCUGAAACCCGCCUCCAUGAAGUUGGAUUCGCUAGUAAUCGCGCAUCAGCCAUGGCGCGGUGA
rnacentral:rRNA from 1 species